CCCACCGAUAAAUCGGUGGGCUAUUUCCAUCUGUCCCUACGGGACA
rnacentral:sRNA from 1 species